rnacentral:rRNA from 1 species
GAUGAACGCUGGCGGCGUGCCUAAUACAUGCAAGUCGAGCGAACGGACGAGGAGCUUGCUUCUCUGAUGUUAGCGGCGGACGGGUGAGUAACACGUGGAUCACCUACCUAUAAGACUGGGAUAACUUCGGGAAACCGUAGCUAAUACCGGAUAAUAUUUUGAACCGCGUGGUUCAAAAGUGAAAGACGGUCUUGCUGUCACUUAUAGAUGGAUCCGCGCUGCAUUAGCUGGUUGGUAAGGUAACGGCUUACCAAGGCAACGAUGCAUAGCCGACCUGAGAGGGUGAUCGGCCACACGGGAACGUAGACACGGUCCAUACUCCUACGGGAGGGAGCAGUAGGGAAUGUGCCGCAAUGGGCGAAAGCCUGACGGAGUAACGGCGCGUGAGUGAUGAAGGUCUUCGGAUCGUAAAACUCUGUUAUUAGGGAAGAACAGAUGUGUAAGUAACUGUGCACAUCUUGACGGUACCUAAUCAGAAAGCCACGGCUAACUACGUG